UUCCGCGUUGGACGAAAGUCUGACGGAGCAACGCCGCGUGAGUGAUGAAGGUUUUCGGAUCGUAAAACUCUGUUGUUAGGGAAGAACAAGUACCGUUCGAAUAGGGCGGUACCUUGACGGUACCUAACCAGAAAGCCACGGCUAACUACGUGCCAGCAGCCGCGGUAAUACGUAGGUGGCAAGCGUUGUCCGGAAUUAUUGGGCGUAAAGCGCGCGCAGGCGGUUUCUUAAGUCUGAUGUGAAAGCCCCCGGCUCAACCGGGGAGGGUCAUUGGAAACUGGGGAACUUGAGUGCAGAAGAGGAGAGUGGAAUUCCACGUGUAGCGGUGAAAUGCGUAGAGAUGUGGAGGAACACCAGUGGCGAAGGCGACUCUCUGGUCUGUAACUGACGCUGAGGCGCGAAAGCGUGGGGAGCGAACAGGAUUAGAUACCCUGGUAGUCCACGCCGUAAACGAUGAGUGCUAAGUGUUAGAGGGUUUCCGCCCUUUAGUGCUGCAGCAAACGCAUUAAGCACUCCGCCUGGGGAGUACGGUCGCAAGACUGAAACUCAAAGGAAUUGACGGGGGCCCGCACAAGCGGUGGAGCAUGUGGUUUAAUUCGAAGCAACGCGAAGAACCUUACCAGGUCUUGACAUCCUCUGACAACCCUAGAGAUAGGGCUUCCCCUUCGGGGGCAGAGUGACAGGUGGUGCAUGGUUGUCGUCAGCUCGUGUCGUGAGAUGUUGGGUUAAGUCCCGCAACGAGCGCAACCCUUGAUCUUAGUUGCCAGCAUUCAGUUGGGCACUCUAAGGUGACUGCCGGUGACAAACCGGAGGAAGGUGGGGAUGACGUCAAAUCAUCAUGCCCCUUAUGACCUGGGCUACACACGUGCUACAAUGGGCAGAACAAAGGGCAGCGAAGCCGCGAGGCUAAGCCAAUCCCACAAAUCUGUUCUCAGUUCGGAUCGCAGUCUGCAACUCGACUGCGUGAAGCUUGGAAUCGCUAGUAAUCGCGGAUCAGCAUGCCGCGGUGAAAUACGUUCCCGGGCCUUGUACACACUCGCCCGUCACCACCACGAGAGUUUGUAACACUCGAAGUCCGUGAAGUUAACCCUUUUGAGCCAGUCCGCCGAAGGUGGGACAGAAUGAUUGGGAGUGUAGGUCGUACACAGGUAG
rnacentral:rRNA from 1 species